rnacentral:rRNA from 1 species
ACUCCUACGGGUGGCUGCAGUGGGGAAUAUUGCACAAUGGGCGCAAGCCUGAUGCAGCGACGCCGCGUGGGGGAUGAAGGCCUUCGGGUUGUAAACUCCUUUCGCUAGGGACGAAGCUUUGUGUGACGGUACCUAGAUAAGAAGCACCGGCUAACUACGUGCCAGCAGCCGCGGUAAUACGUAGGGUGCGAGCGUUGUCCGGAAUUACUGGGCGUAAAGGGCUCGUAGGUGGUUUGUCGCGUCGUCUGUGAAAUUCUGGGGCUUAACUCCGGGCGUGCAGGCGAUACGGGCAUAACUUGAGUGCUGUAGGGGUAACUGGAAUUCCUGGUGUAGCGGUGAAAUGCGCAGAUAUCAGGAGGAACACCGAUGGCGAAGGCAGGUUACUGGGCAGUUACUGACGCUGAGGAGCGAAAGCAUGGGUAGCGAACAGGAUUAGAUACCCUGGUAGUCCAUGCCGUAAACGGUGGGCGCUAGGUGUGAGGGUCUUUCUACGACUUUCGUGCCGUAGCUAACGCAUUAAGCGCCCCGCCUGGGGAGUACGGCCGCAAGGCUAAAACUCAAAGGAAUUGACGGGGGCCCGCACAAGCGGCGGAGCAUGUGGAUUAAUUCGAUGCAACGCGAAGAACCUUACCUGGGCUUGACAUACACUAGAUCGCUGCAGAGAUGUAGUUUCCCUUUGUGGUUGGUGUACAGGUGUUGCAUGGAUGUCGUCAGCUCGUG